GGAGUUAGCGACAGGGAGGGAUGCGCGCCUGGGUGUAGUUGUGGGGGAGGAAGUGGCUAGCUCAGGGCUUCAGGGGACAGACAGGGAGAGAUGACUGAGUUAGAUGAGACGAGGGGGCGGGCUGGGGGUGCGAGAAGGAAGCUUGGCAAGGAGACUAGGUCUAGGGGGACCACAGUGGGGCAGGCUGCAUGGAAAAUAUCCGCAGGGUCCCCCAGGCAGAACAGCCACGCUCCAGGCCAGGCUGUCCCUACUGCCUGGUGGAGGGGGAACUUGACCUCUGGGAGGGCGCCGCUCUUGCAUAGCUGAGCGAGCCCGGGUGCGCUGGUCUGUGUGGAAGGAGGAAGGCAGGGAGAGGUAGAAGGGGUGGAGGAGUCAGGAGGAAUAGGCCGCAGCAGCCCUGGAAAUGAUCAGGAAGGCAGGCAGUGGGUGCAGGGCUGCAGGAGGGCCGGGAGGGCUAAUCUUCAACUUGUCCAUGCCAGCAGCCCCUUUUUUUCCAGACCAAGGGCUGUGAACCCGCCUGGGGAUGAGGCCUGGUCUUGUGGAACUGAACUUAGCUCGACGGGGCUGACCGCUCUGGCCCAGGGUGGUAUGUAAUUUUCGCUCGGCCUGGGACGGGGCCCAGGCCGGGCCCAGCCUGGUGGAGCGUCCAGGUCUGGGUGCGAAGCCAGGCCCCUGGGCGGAGGUGAGGGGUGGUCUGAGGAGUGAUGUGGAGUUAAGGCGCCAUCCUCACCGGUGACUGGUGCGGCACCUAGCAUGUUUGACAGGCGGGGACUGCGAGGCACGCUGCUCGGGUGUUGGGGACAACAUUGACCAACGCUUUAUUUUCCAGGUGGCAGUGCUCCUUUUGGACUUUUCUCUAGGUUUGGCGCUAAACUCUUCUUGUGAGCUCACUCCACCCCUUCUUCCUCCCUUUAACUUAUCCAUUCACUUAAAACAUUACCUGGUCAUCUGGUAAGCCCGGGACAGUAAGCCGAGUGGCUGUUGGAGUCGGUAUUGUUGGUAAUGGUGGAGGAAGAGAGGCCUUCCCGCUGAGGCUGGGGUGGGGCGGAUCGGUGUUGCUUGCCUGCAGAGAGGGUGGGGAGUGAAUGUGCACCCUUGGGUGGGCCUGCAGCCAUCCAGCUGAAAGUUACAAAAAUGCUUCAUGGACCGUGGUUUGUUACUAUAGUGUUCCUCAUGGCGAGCAGAUGGAACCGGGAGACAUGGAGUCCCUGGCCAGUGUGAGUCCUAGCAUUGCAGGAGGGGAGACCCUGGAGGAGAGAGCCCGCCUCAAUUGAUGCCUGCAGAUUGAAUUUCCAGAGGCUUAGGAGGAGGAAGUUCUCCAAUGUUCUGUUUCCAGGCCUUGCUCAGGAAGCCCUGUAUUCAGGAGGCUACCAUUUAAAGUUUGCAGAUGAGCUUAUGGGGGGCAAUCUUAAAAAGUCCACAGCAGAUGCAUCCGGCUCGAGGGGCCAUCAGCUUUGAAUAAAUGCUUGUUCCAGAGCCCAUGAAUGCCAGCAGGCACCCCUCCUUUCCUGGGGUAAAGGUUUUCAGAUGCUGCAUCUUCUAAAUUGAGCCUCCGGUCAUACUAGUUUUGUGCUUGGAACCUUGCUUCAAGAAGAUCCCUAAGCUGUAGAACAUUUUAACGUUGAUGCCACAACGCAGAUUGAUGCCUUGUAGAUGGAGCUUGCAGAUGGAGCCCCGUGACCUCUCACCUACCCACCUGUUUGCCUGCCUUCUUGUGCGUUUCUCGGAGAAGUUCUUAGCCUGAUGAAAUAACUUGGGGCGUUGAAGAGCUGUUUAAUUUUAAAUGCCUUAGACUGGGGAUAUAUUAGAGGAAGCAGAUUGUCAAAUUAAGGGUGUCAUUGUGUUGUGCUAAACGCUGGGAGGGUACAAGUUGGUCAUUCCUAAAUCUGUGUGUGAGAAAUGGCAGGUCUAGUUUGGGCAUUGUGAUUGCAUUGCAGAUUACUAGGAGAAGGGAAUGGUGGGUACACCGGUAGUGCUCUUUUGUUCUUGCUUCGUUUUUUUAAACUUGAACUUUACUUCGUUAGAUUUCAUAAUACUUUCUUGGCAUUCUAGUAAGAGGACCCUGAGGUGGGAGUUGUGGGGGACGGGGAGAAGGGGACAGCUUGGCACCGGUCCCGUGGGCGUUGCAGUGUGGGGGAUGGGGGUAUGCAGCUUGGCACUGGUACUGGGAGGGAUGAGGGUGAAGAAGGGGAGAGGGUUGGUUAGAGAUACAGUGUGGGUGGUGGGGGUGGUAGGAAAUGCAGGUUGAAGGGAAUUCUCUGGGGCUUUGGGGAAUUUAGUGCGUGGGUGAGCCAAGAAAAUACUAAUUAAUAAUAGUAAGUUGUUAGUGUUGGUUAAGUUGUUGCUUGGAAGUGAGAAGUUGCUUAGAAACUUUCCAAAGUGCUUAGAACUUUAAGUGCAAACAGACAAACUAACAAACAAAAAUUGUUUUGCUUUGCUACAAGGUGGGGAAGACUGAAGAAGUGUUAACUGAAAACAGGUGACACAGAGUCACCAGUUUUCCGAGAACCAAAGGGAGGGGUGUGUGAUGCCAUCUCACAGGCAGGGGAAAUGUCUUUACCAGCUUCCUCCUGGUGGCCAAGACAGCCUGUUUCAGAGGGUUGUUUUGUUUGGGGUGUGGGUGUUAUCAAGUGAAUUAGUCACUUGAAAGAUGGGCGUCAGACUUGCAUACGCAGCAGAUCAGCAUCCUUCGCUGCCCCUUAGCAACUUAGGUGGUUGAUUUGAAACUGUGAAGGUGUGAUUUUUUCAGGAGCUGGAAGUCUUAGAAAAGCCUUGUAAAUGCCUAUAUUGUGGGCUUUUAACGUAUUUAAGGGACCACUUAAGACGAGAUUAGAUGGGCUCUUCUGGAUUUGUUCCUCAUUUGUCACAGGUGUCUUGUGAUUGAAAAUCAUGAGCGAAGUGAAAUUGCAUUGAAUUUCAAGGGAAUUUAGUAUGUAAAUCGUGCCUUAGAAACACAUCUGUUGUCUUUUCUGUGUUUGGUCGAUAUUAAUAAUGGCAAAAUUUUUGCCUAUCUAGUAUCUUCAAAUUGUAGUCUUUGUAACAACCAAAUAACCUUUUGUGGUCACUGUAAAAUUAAUAUUUGGUAGACAGAAUCCAUGUACCUUUGCUAAGGUUAGAAUGAAUAAUUUAUUGUAUUUUUAAUUUGAAUGUUUGUGCUUUUUAAAUGAGCCAAGACUAGAGGGGAAACUAUCACCUAAAAUCAGUUUGGAAAACAAGACCUAAAAAGGGAAGGGGAUGGGGAUUGUGGGGAGAGAGUGGGCGAGGUGCCUUUACUACAUGUGUGAUCUGAAAACCCUGCUUGGUUCUGAGCUGCGUCUAUUGAAUUGGUAAAGUAAUACCAAUGGCUUUUUAUCAUUUCCUUCUUCCCUUUAAGUUUCACUUGAAAUUUUAAAAAUCAUGGUUAUUUUUAUCGUUGGGAUCUUUCUGUCUUCUGGGUUCCAUUUUUUAAAUGUUUAAAAAUAUGUUGACAUGGUAGUUCAGUUCUUAACCAAUGACUUGGGGAUGAUGCAAACAAUUACUGUCGUUGGGAUUUAGAGUGUAUUAGUCACGCAUGUAUGGGGAAGUAGUCUCGGGUAUGCUGUUGUGAAAUUGAAACUGUAAAAGUAGAUGGUUGAAAGUACUGGUAUGUUGCUCUGUAUGGUAAGAACUAAUUCUGUUACGUCAUGUACAUAAUUACUAAUCACUUUUCUUCCCCUUUACAGCACAAAUAAAGUUUGAGUUCUAAACUCA
rnacentral:misc_RNA from 1 species